rnacentral:rRNA from 1 species
UACAGGGGGGGCAAGCGUUGUUCGGAAUUACUGGGCGUAAAGGGUCUGUAGGUGGCCAACUAAGUCAGACGUGAAAUCCCUCAGCUUAACUGGGGAACUGCGUCUGAUACUGGAUGGCUUGAGUGUGGGAGAGGAAUGCGGAAUUCCAGGUGUAGCGGUGAAAUGCGUAGAUAUCAGGAAGAACACCCGUGGCUAAGGCGGCUCUCUAGUACGGUACUGACGCUGAGACGCGAAAGCGUGGGGAGCGAACAGG